UGCGUAGGCGGCGCGGUAAGUCGGGUGUGAAAUCUCGGAGCUUAACUCCGAAACUGCAUUCGAUACUGCCGUGCUUGAGGACUGGAGAGGAGACUGGAAUUUACGGUGUAGCGGUGAAAUGCGUAGAUAUCGUAAGGAAGACCAGUGGCGAAGGCGGGUCUCUGGACAGUUCCUGACGCUGAGGCACGAAGGCCAGGGGAGGCAAAACG
rnacentral:rRNA from 1 species